ensembl:lncRNA novel transcript
GAUCCUGACAACCAUCCCUGCUCCAGGUAAAUUGAUUUAAUGGUCAGGAAUGCAUUUGGUGGCCAGUCUUCCAGGGGGCCCAUGAAAGUUCAGGGUGAGUUGUAUGAUGAUUGUUUUAUAGUAGAAAUAAAUGAUUGAUAAUACCUGCUUUCAACUUCUCCAGGAAAAGGUAAUAUUUUUCAUGCUUUGUAUUGUCCGGCUCUAGGGCUUUAAUGACAAAUUUGUUCGAGUGCCCAAACAGGUCUAAUGCCCUUUCUGAAGGCAGUUUGGUGCUGCUGGAAGGUACAUUGAUAGGACUCCAUUAGGACAAGGGUGUAUCUGACAAAAUAAUGUUCAUAUUGUCCCUGGCACUCUGUGGGUGGAUCUCUGCCAUUUGUUAAGGAGUUUCACCUUUGGUAAUUGCAUACUUACUCAUUCACACUAUAAAUAUUCAUUGACUCCCUUCUAUAUGCUUGGCAUUGUGCUAGGUACUGGGGUUAUGGUAUAGGAAGCAAAACAUGCUUUUGUCUAUUAAAGAAAGGCAAACAGACUAUGUAUAAGAAGUACCAUAAUUGAAAUUCCAGAAAGAAUGCUUGAAAAACAUGAUUUCUAUUCCACUCUAAUAAAUCUCCUAUAGUAGAGUUUCAUGUUUCAGGUGGCUCAUAACUAGAAAGAUAUUUCUGGUAAGGAGGCUUUUAAAUCACACCUCCAUGUCUGUUGCUGGUAUCUAAAGCAAACUGAUAUUUCAGUCAGCAAUCCAAAGCAACUGAACUUCAAGAAAAGGGCCAGAAGAUCAAUGCUGGGAGCUCUCUUCAGUGGCUUCAUGCCUAGCAUCUAUUUCUGCAGAAUAGACUCUCUCAGCUGUCACACUGGGUCUAGUAGGAGAUCUAGAAACCUUCAUGUCUGGACUGCAAUACUUCAGCUGUAGGUAGAAAUGCCUUCACAGAAUCAGGAUUUCACACGAUGUCUCUGACU